CUCUGCCACUCCCUCUGCUGCAGAGAUAACGUAACGGUUCCACCAUGUUUCCACGGAACUGAACUCAACAGAAGUGGCCCCACACAGCCUGAAAUACAAUCUCAAACACCGAACUCCAUGACGUGCAAUAUCUGUAAUCAACUAAACAGUAGUUUCAAGAAUGCGUAGGUCAGAAAGAGAAAUGUUUAGUGUAGGUCUACUGCAGGGAAAAAAUACUGUGUGGAUGGAAAUAUCUGAGAAAACUAACUUCAUUUCUGUCAUUUUCAUAACUUGAUUUCUGAGCCAGUCGUAACUUUACAAAGUGUUACAAAUGAAAUUGUCAAGCUAAUGAUGUAUGAGCAAUAUAUCAAAACAAUAGAUGUAUUAUUUUUUCAUCUUUGCCUUAAAACUUUUUAUAGUUGUGCUUGAGCAACCCUAACAAUGCGAGAUGGGCAGGUGUAAGUUCAGUCUACAGGGUAUGCUCAGUACCAGUUGCCCUGUUCGUCAACCUCCUUUCCAGGAUUUGUUUGCAUUUGAGGAAUGGUAGGUGCCAGUUGUGGACCGCUUGAGGACCACCUCCCUGAAGACCUCCCUUGGGCCACAUACAAGUGAACAAACAUAGUUUGUCUGGAAAGUUGAAAGUUCAAUAAAAUAAUUUUCUUUUUAAAAAUCAG